CAGACGGGUGAGUAAAGCGUGGGGCUUUUACAAGAGGUGGGGAAUAACUGUGGGAAACUACAGCUAACCUUGCAUGAGCCCUUCGGGGGAAGGAUUUAUCGCCUUUGGAUCAACCCGCGUCAGAUUAGCUAGUUGGUAGGGUAAUGGCCUACCAAGGCGACGAUCUGUAGCUGGUCUGAGAGGAUGACCAGCCACACUGGGACUGAGACACGGCCCAGACUCCUACGGGAGGCAGCAGUGGGGAAUAUUGGACAAUGGGCGCAAGCCUGAUCCAGCCAUGCCGCGUGAGUGAUGACGGCCUUAGGGUUGUAAGCUCUUUUAACAGGGACGAUAAUGACGGUACCUGUAGAAUAAGCCCCGGCAAACUUCGUGCCAGCAGCCGCGGUAAUACGAAGGGGGCUAGCGUUGUUCGGAAUUACUGGGCGUAAAGCGCACGUAGGCGGAUUGUUAAGUCGGGGGUGAAAUCCUGAGGCUCAACCU
rnacentral:rRNA from 1 species